rnacentral:rRNA from 1 species
AUAAGUGCGGUGCUUAGGAUAAGGAGUGAACUCUCCUCGGCGACGGACACAUACUUCCGGGAGAACGGCUUCCAGCGUGUGCACACGCCCUUAAUAACCACCAGUGACUGCGAGGGUGCUGGCGAGAUGUUCCAGGUCACCACCUUGUUCAGCCAGGCCGAGAGGCUGGAAAAGGAGCUCAAGGAGAACCCUGCUUCGCAAGCCGACAUCAACGCCGCUAAGAUCGUCGUCAAGCAAGGGGACAUUGUCGCACAGCUCAAAGCUGCACAAGCCACCAAGAAAGAGGUCGGAGCCGCCGUGUCGGGGCUCAAGACGGCGAAAGAGAGCGUGUUGAGGAUGGAGGAGAGGUCCAGGCUGAGACCUGGGACUCCACGCAGGGAAGAUGGGAGUAUUGCGUUUGAGAAUGAUUUUUUCAAGUGUCCUUCGUACCUGACAGUUUCAGGGCAGCUUCAGCUGGAGACCUUGGCUUGUGGUCUCACCGACGUGUAUACCUUUGGGCCGACGUUCCGGGCCGAGAACUCACACACGUCGAGGCAUCUUGCCGAGUUUUGGAUGGUGGAGGCAGAGAUGGCAUUUGCAAACUUGCAGGAUGAUAUGAACCGUGCAGAGAGCUAUGUGCAAUACCUUUGCAGGUGGUUACUUGAGCAUUGCCGAGAAGAGAUAGAAUUCAUGGUCAAGGGUCAUGAUGAGGCCGCAAUCGAGCGCCUGGAGCUUGUUUCAUCGACGCCCUUCGAACGCUCGUACACAAAGGCUGUGGAGAUACUAAAAGAGGCAGAUAAAAAGUUUGAGAACAAAGUUGAGUGGGGAAUUGAUUUAGCAUCUGAGCAUGAGAGGUAUUUGACUGAGAUGGCGUUUAAGAAGCCCGUUAUUGUUUCUAGAUACCCAAAAGGCAUUAAGGCAUUUUAUAUGAGGCUCAAUGAUGACCAGAGGACAGUGGCUGCUAUGGAUGUUCUUGUUCCUAAGGUUGGUGAAUUAAUCGGCGGAAGCCAAAGGGAGGAACGUCUAGAUAUUCUUGAACAAAGGAUACUCGACACUGGUCUGGCCUUGGAGCAGUACGACAAAUACCUGGACCUGCGGCGCUUCGGAUCCGUCAAGCACAGCGGGUUUGGCCUGGGUCUCGGGAGAAUGAUCCUUUUCGCCACCGGAAUUGACAACAUCAGAGAUGUAAUCCCCUUCCCACGGUGUCCUGGGAGGGCCGAUCUCUGA